UACAGAGGUGGCAAGCGUUGUUCGGAAUUACUGGGCGUAAAGGGCGCGUAGGCGGCCCGCUAAGUCGAACGUGAAAUCCCUGGGCUCAACCCAGGAACUGCGUCCGAUACUGGCAGGCUUGAAUCCGGGAGAGGGAUGCGGAAUUCCAGGUGUAGCGGUGAAAUGCGUAGAUAUCUGGAGGAACACCGGUGGCGAAGGCGGCAUCCUGGACCGGCAUUGACGCUGAGGCGCGAAAGCCAGGGGAGCAAACGGG
rnacentral:rRNA from 1 species